GGCGGCAGGCCUAACACAUGCAAGUCGAGCGGAAACGACACUAACAAUCCUUCGGGUGCGUUAAUGGGCGUCGAGCGGCGGACGGGUGAGUAAUGCCUAGGAAAUUGCCUUGAUGUGGGGGAUAACCAUUGGAAACGAUGGCUAAUACCGCAUAAUGCCUACGGGCCAAAGAGGGGGACCUUCGGGCCUCUCGCGUCAAGAUAUGCCUAGGUGGGAUUAGCUAGUUGGUGAGGUAAUGGCUCACCAAGGCGACGAUCCCUAGCUGGUCUGAGAGGAUGAUCAGCCACACUGGAACUGAGACACGGUCCAGACUCCUACGGGAGGCAGCAGUGGGGAAUAUUGCACAAUGGGCGAAAGCCUGAUGCAGCCAUGCCGCGUGUAUGAAGAAGGCCUUCGGGUUGUAAAGUACUUUCAGUUGUGAGGAAGGGGGUAGCGUUAAUAGCGCUAUCUCUUGACGUUAGCAACAGAAGAAGCACCGGCUAACUCCGUGCCAGCAGCCGCGGUAAUACGGAGGGUGCGAGCGUUAAUCGGAAUUACUGGGCGUAAAGCGCAUGCAGGUGGUUCAUUAAGUCAGAUGUGAAAGCCCGGGGCUCAACCUCGGAACUGCAUUUGAAACUGGUGAACUAGAGUACUGUAGAGGGGGGUAGAAUUUCAGGUGUAGCGGUGAAAUGCGUAGAGAUCUGAAGGAAUACCAGUGGCGAAGGCGGCCCCCUGGACAGAUACUGACACUCAGAUGCGAAAGCGUGGGGGAGCAAACAG
rnacentral:rRNA from 1 species